GGAUGCGGUCAUACCAGCACUAAAGCACCGGAUCCCAUCAGAACUCCGAAGUUAAGCGUGCUUGGGUGAGAGUAGUACUAGGAUGGGUGACCUCCUGGAAGUCCUCGUGUUGCAUUCC
rnacentral:rRNA from 1 species